GGCUAUUAGCUCAGUGGUAGAGCGCGCCCCUGAUAAGGGGUGCGAGGAUUUACUUCACG
rnacentral:tRNA from 1 species